UCACACAACCAACCAAAGGACAUUCAAACACACCACACCUCUGCCGCAUCACCACACAGCUGCUGCAGACAUGCACCCACCCACCCAUCCAUUUCAGCAUCACAUCACAGACUAGGGGGUCAGUGACCUCACGGCCGCAUGGUGCCUUACCCGACCGAUAGCGCUCAUCUCGUGACCCUGAGGACCUUCGGCGGUGAUAGCGAGUGGAAGAGGCAGGAGUGACUGGAGCCCGGCGCUCAGGAGGCAAAGCUUGAUCCACCCCUGGGUUAAGGGAAACAGCAAAAGACCCUCCUGGUGGAUCCCCUCCUGUUCUAACCCCAGCUGGCUGGUCCACACCUGCUGCAUAACCACCAGGGAGCACUCCUACCUCCAGAACUUGCUUUCGCCUAGAAGACUAAGCAAGAUCAUGUAUAAAUUUGAAAUCUUGA